rnacentral:rRNA from 1 species
GACGAACGCUGGCGGCGUGCCUAAUACAUGCAAGUUGAGCGCUGAAGGUUGGUUCUUGUACCAACUGGAUGAGCAGCGGACGGGUGAGUAACGCGUGGGCAAUCUGCCUUUUAGCGGUGGACAACAUUUAGAGACGAAUGCUAAUACCGCAUAACAACUUUAAACACAAGGUUUAAGAUUGAAAUCGGCAAUUGCUUCACUCAAAGCUGAUCCCGCGUUGUAUUAGCUAGUUGGUGAGCUAAAGGGCCACCAAGGCGAUGACACAUAGCCGACCGGGGAGGGGGGUCGGCCGCCUUGGGACGGGGACACGGCCCAAAGGCCUGCGGGAGGGAGCAGCAGGGAAUCUGCGGCAAUGGAGGGAAGUAUUGCAGAGCAAGGGCGCGUGAGUGGAGGAGGUGUUCGGGUCGUGAAGCUCUGUUGGUAGUGGAGAACGUUGGUGGGAGUGGAAAGAGCAUCUAGUGACGGUAACUACCCAGAAAGGGACGGCUAACUACGUG